GCGCCCUUAGCACAGCGGAGAGAGCAGGUGCCUUCCAAGCACUUGACCGCAGGUUCGAUCCCUGCCGGGCGCGCCA
rnacentral:tRNA from 1 species